CAGACCAGUCUCUCUCCAUCUGGAGCUGGUACUGCAGAUACUUCGGGCUCGAAAAUUCAAUGAAGGGGAAAAGGAAAGGGAAUUCAGUUUCUGUGGGUCAUUGUCUUUCUUGCUCUUCUCCUUUGUUUUUCUUCCUCCUUUAUUCCUUUUCCUCUCUGAUUUGGUCCGGUGCAUUUUCCAGCUCCACGGCUUUGAAAUCUGUGUUAUCCCUGAACUGCAGCUUUCUGGUGGGACAUGAAGCCCAAGCAUGGACAGGUCUGAAAGCAUUCCUCUGCAGAUAGCUCCAGAUGGUUGAUGGCACUGCUGAAAGCAAAAGCCAGCUGGACCCCUUCUCAGUUUAGCACUUUUCACUUUGUUCAUUUGUUUGUGUUUUCGUUUUUGAGGAUGCAGAUGAAUGAGGGGGGAUUCGAAAGAGUGGCUCUCAUGGAAAAGAAAAGAAAUAACAAGUGCUGGCAAGGAUGUGGAGAAAAGCAAACCCUUAUGUACUGUUGGUGGAAU
rnacentral:lncRNA from 1 species